GCUGGGCGUGGUGGUGCGUGCCUGUAGUCCCAGCUACUUGGGAGGCUAAGGCAGGAGAAUCGCUUGAACCCAGGAGGUGGAGGUUGUAGUGAGCUGAGACUGCGCCAUUGCUCUCCAGUCUGGGUAACAACAGUGGAACUCUGUCUCAAAACAAACAAACAAAAAACAACUAAUUCUAUUUGUAUUCUAUUCUCUUUUUUUUUGGAGACAGAGUCUCAUUCUUGCCCAGGCUUAAGUGCAAUGGCCCAGUCUCAGCUCACUACAACCUCCACCUCCUGGGUUCAAGCGAUUCUCCUGCCUUAG
rnacentral:SRP_RNA from 1 species